AAUGCCCGAGGCAGCCUGAGCGCGGCUGGGGCUCGGAAAGCGCCAAGCAGGCAGGGACCGAGAGGGGUGAUGGCGCGCCCACCCCUGCAGAGCCGCCUGCGCGGUUGUCCCGCGCGUCCCUGCCGGCGAAGGCUGUGAGAAGCACCGCGGGGCUACGGCGCCUCCAUCCUCUCUAACAGCCGCGCUUACCAGACAGCCAGCCUCCAGCGCUGCUAGGCUACUCCGAGCAGGGGAGAAAAGACGCCGGUCCGCCGGGGACCAGGAGGGAGACGUGAAACCAGAGGCCCGGGGGCCCCCUCUCCGCCUGUGCGACUUGUAGUCUCGUACCAGACGCGUCCGCUUCACUGCUGAAUCUGAAAACGUGGGCUCUUGAGAGCUGCCCUUGGAAGGAGCUGUGCUUUCUGCCUCAUCUUUAACUUUUCGUUUAUUCAGCAAAUAUGUAUCAAGUUCCGACUUCGUGGAAGAGAUUGUGUUAGACACUGGGAGUAAUAGAAACAUAAUUAAGAAGCAGGGGUCCCGGACCUGAAGGGCCUGAGCGUCGGUUCUGAAGGCUGAGAAGUUCAAGAGCAAGUGCUGGCAUCUGAUGAGGGCCUUCUUGCUGUAUCAUCCUACGGUGGAAGGGUUUCACUGUAUCUCCCAGGCUGGAAUAUAGUGGAGAUCAUGGCUCACUGCAACCUUGACCUCCUGGGCUCAAGCGGUCUUCACACCUCAGCCUCCCCAGUAGCUGAUCCUACAGGUUCUUUCAAACUGGGAAAGCUCAUUAAAAGAAAAAUGAGAAAAUCUAUUGGCUGGAUCCUGAACCCUUGGAAGCUCUGUCUGGAUACAUUCUUCUCUGGCAGGAUGCUCUAUGUGGCUCUUUCCAUGUGUAGUUUCCAAUGAAACAGGAAGGACUCUAAUUGAGUGCCUGCCCACAUCUCUACAGCUCCACACCUUCCACUAAGGGCACAAUAAGACCUCCACUGUGAGAGGCUCCACAGUGUACUACGUUGGUGAUGGCAUAUUCUGAGGGGCUGAUCUGCAGAAAAGGCCAAGUGAAAAGUCACCCAAUAAUGAGAAAGGAGGAAGAUGGCAUGUAGAAUGCAUGAAUAGGAAAUUAUAUUGAGAAAUCCAGAUGUGCAGUUGUGCAAGAGCAAGCUGGUGUGGAUUUUUGAAUGGAUAUUCUGAAGACAACUAGGUGCCGGAUGCCAUGUUGUCAGCUGCCCUAUGGAGAGACCCAUGUGGGCAAGGAACUCUGGCCAACAGAUGGUCUGGGUGGUCUCUGGUCCACAGCCAGGGAAGAGCUGAGCACCUCUGACCAGAGGCUUAUGACAAACUGAAUCCUGCCAGCAAGACACCAACCAAUCCAGAAGUAUCAGCCAUCUCCCUAUGCAGGGUGCCAGAGGACCAGGUUCUAGCCCAUUCAUUGCUGGAUUGCGGAGGACUCCAGGUGGUCUGGGAAAAGGAGUGGAGCAACAUGCAGCAUGUCCCAGCAAAGCUUCGCAAAGAUGUCAGUAUUAAUUGUCACCAUCCUCCAGGGAGAAAGCAACAGCCCACAAUUGCCUGCAUUUUCUUUCCUCUUCAAAACCACUUCUGCUCCAAAGACCAUGAACCUGAACUGAAGAAACGACUCCUUCCUGCUGGUGUGAGAUAAUUCAGUCUCCAUGAUGUCUUAAUCCUGGGCCUCCCUUAAUUGACUUCUAACUGUGCUGAACUGUGGCUGCUAGGAGUUGCAAUGUGGAUCGCAAUUUACAAGGCACUGGAAUCGUUUCUUGUCUUCAAAUUAGUCCUGAGCUGUACUGGAGAAAGAAAAAAAAGGGGCCUUUACCCUUCUUGCUGUCUUGUCACCACAAGUGAGACUUUCUUACAGUCUCAGAAUGGAUGGUUGCCUUUUAACAAUUUAGUUAGGGACAGAAAGGAAAAAGAGUUAGGGUUGCCAAUACUUCGUCAAUUUUGUCUUAAUAAAGUUGCCUCACAUGGCC
rnacentral:lncRNA from 10 species